GCUCCCGCAGCGCGAACCCGAUCGGAGCCGGGGACCCAUCAGUACCAGGCACUCAACCGUGCCGGUCCCCCGGGGUGAAUCGGCCCCCCGCACCACCGCACCGCCCGAGAACGCACCCCCCGUGCGUCAAGGGCCCGCGUGCGCCGCGUGCAGGGGCUGUAGGGCGAACUCCCCUUCCGCCCGAACCCGUCAGCUAACCCGGUAGGCGGCCGAAGGAGAGGCU
rnacentral:sRNA from 2 species